AAACUCACCUGGCAAGGGAGUGAUACCAGGAGUACAAAAGUGGUUUUCCCAAGGUGAGGUUCACCUAUCAUACUCCAGAUAUGCUGACCCCUGCCAUUUCCCCAAAUGCAGGAAAUGCAACUGUGUGGCUUGUGGUAGUGGGGGNUGUGUGUGCACUAUACCCUA
rnacentral:snRNA from 11 species